GAUGAACGCUAGCUACAGGCUUAACACAUGCAAGUCGAGGGGCAGCACGGAGAUAGCUUGCUAUCUUGGGUGGCGACCGGCGCACGGGUGAGUAACGCGUAUCCAACCUGCCCAUUACUCAGGGAUAGCCUUGCGAAAGUAAGAUUAAUACCUGAUGUUGUUAAAAACCCGCAUGAGUUUUUAACCAAAGAUUUAUCGGUAACGGAUGGGAAUGCGUGACAUUAGAUAGUAGGCGGGGUAACGGCCCACCUAGUCUACGAUGUCUAGGGGGUUCUGAGAGGAAGGUCCCCCACACUGGAACUGAGACACGGUCCAGACUCCUACGGGAGGCAGCAGUGAGGAAUAUUGGUCAAUGGUCGGAAGACUGAACCAGCCAAGUAGCGUGAAGGAUGAAGGUUCUAUGGAUUGUAAACUUCUUUUAUACGGGAAUAAAACCUCCCACGUGUGGGAGCUUGUAUGUACCGUAUGAAUAAGCAUCGGCUAACUCCGUG
rnacentral:rRNA from 1 species